rnacentral:lncRNA from 1 species
CUCUAAGAUGCUGACCUUGCCAUCUUAGAGAGUGAUUUAAUGGAGGAGGUAGAUAUCCACCCAUAUUUAUUUAUGCAGAUAGACAUCACUGCACAAAUAAGAGUAAAGUUAUAGCUGUAGUAUAUUCUGAAAGUGGAAGUGUGUGGUGCCAUAAAAUCUAUAGCUGUGAGUUGAAUUAUGACUCCCAAAUAAAGACACAUUGAAGUCUUAACCCCCAAUAUCUCAGAAUGUGAUCUUAUUUAGAGAUAGCCUCUUUGGAGAGGUAAUCUCUCCAAAAUUAACAGAAUUAAGUUAACAUAAGAUUAUUAGGCUGGGCCCUAAUCUGGAAUGCAUGAUAUCCUUAUAAAAAGGGGGACAUUUGGACACAAACACAGACAAGCAGAGGGAAGAUAAGUGAAGAAACACAGGGAGAAGAAGUCCAUCUACAAGCUAAGGAGAGAGGCCUGGAGCAGAUCCUCCUGUCUUGGUCCUCAGAAGGAAUCAAUUCUGCAGACAUCUUGAUCUCAGACUUCCAGACUUCAGGAAUAGAUGAAAAAUUCAAAAAAAAAUGCACCCCUAUGCAUUUGAUGACCCCGGACAAGAUGAUUUCAGUCUAGGAAGAUUUGAAUGAAAGCAAUUCCAGGCAAAAAUAUUGAAGCCACUGGAACAGCAAAGGACACAUAGAUUGGGUCAGUACUCAAGGGAUCUCAGUUUCACAACUUCAAAAA